UACGGAGGGUGCAAGCGUUGCUCGGAAUCACUGGGCGUAAAGCGACCGCAGGCGGCCUGACAAGUCGGAUGUGAAAGCCCUGGGCUCAACUCAGGAAUUGCAUUCGAAACUGGCAGGCUCGAGUACGGGAGAGGGGGGUGGAAUUCCUGGUGUAGGGGUGAAAUUCGUUGAUAUCAGGAGGAACACCGGCGGCGAAGGCGGCAUCCUGGACCGACACUGACACUGAGGAGCGAAAGCCAGGGGAGCAAACGGG
rnacentral:rRNA from 1 species